rnacentral:lncRNA from 7 species
ACAACACAAGAUCUUAUUAGAGAUGAAUAUGAAGUUGUGUGUGAUUCCAUGUAAUAGAACCGGAGCUUCCGAAUCCGAAGGUCGCUUGACCACUGGAUUCCCAUCUAUUCUAGUCUAAACGGGCCUGCUGGGUUGAUGGAAUUAGAUGCCGUAGUUGGGUGGCGGCCCAAAGGCAACCAAGAUGUAGACCUGCAUCAAAUGACUCCACGGACGAAGCCUCGUAGCAGCAGGCAGCAAAGCCGGCAAUUGCAAUGACGCUCCCUUCUCGCCUUGGCAAGACCAU